CCGUGACGCCCCGUCUCCUCCCUGGGGGCGGAGUGUGGGCUUCGGCGCGUGUCUGCGGUGUGUCUGUCUGGGAGUCGUGCUGGCUGUGCCUCUGGCUUUGUCCGCUCCCUCUUGACGGCUGUGACUUCUGGUGAGGGAGAUCGGCCCUUUGCGACGCUCUGAGGUGUGUCUUCCCAUCCUGCCCCUCUUCCUCACGCUUGCUUGUUUGCCGUGCUGAGCUCUUGCGAGCAUUUUCAUUUUCACGUGGCUGAAUUUAUCCCCCUUGUGUGGCUCUCGAGACUGCCUGGUUUGGGCACACGUGGCUUUUCUUGCUUAGCCGAGCUUUCCGUCUCUCAGCAGAUUUCCGGGGCCUGAGACGAGUGAGGGCCUGAGAGCGUCAUUCUGGUGUGUGUGUCGCACCGGGUUCUGGCACUUUCCUUGUCCUACUUAAUAGUGCCAGCCCAGAGAAGAUUCUGCUUUGACCUCUGAUUGUGCAUAAAACUAUUUGUUUUAAAAAACUCUCAUGGGACCAUCUCAAGCAGAAUUCUUUGGGGAGAAAGGAUGUGGGAAGAGAAGUAUCGCCAAGUGCAGACGUGUCAGAGCCGAGUCUGAAGGUCACUCCUGGCUUCACUACAGCGUGUCCCACAUUCCGAGGCCUGUGGACGUGGUUCCUGGUGAACGGACUGAGCAGAAAUCACAAGAUUUAGUCUGGAAGCAAACAAACGGAGAAGCUCCUAGGUAUCAGCUGGCCCUCUAAUACACAUGUGAUGAAUGAGUCCUGACUGCAGGUGGGAUGCUGGUGGGGGCAGUUACUUGGACAAAGCUCAUCGUCAGGUUGCUCUGUCCAGUGUGGGUGUCAUCAGCCACACGAUGGCCUCACAGCAACACUUGGGAACUUGUUAGCAAUGAAAGUCCUAGGGGUGGGAUGCAGCAGGGUCCUAACCAGCUCUCCGGAGGUCCUGACGUCGGACGUGUGCGGGCCACUGGAUCAGGGGUGAAGGCAGAGAAGACGUCGCUACUGCGCUGUGGCCUGGUCAGGAGGGCGACACUGGCCUGAGUCGAGGUUGGUUGGCAUCACGUGAACUGGUUGGGCAAGUGAGUGACACAGGGUGGGAUGAUGUACUGAAAUUGACAAUACUGAUGAAUUUCAAAUGUUUAUUGAGUAAUUUUGUCUGUA